rnacentral:rRNA from 1 species
UACGGAGGGUGCAAGCGUUAAUCGGAAUUACUGGGCGUAAAGCGUACGUAGGCGGCUUGUUAAGCAAGAUGUGAAAUCCCCGGGCUCAACCUGGGAAUGGCAUUUUGAACUGGCAGGCUCGAGUUCUGAAGAGGGUGGUAGAAUUUCCAGUGUAGCGGUGAAAUGCGUAGAUAUUGGAAGGAAUACCGGUGGCGAAGGCGGCCACCUGGUCAGAAACUGACGCUGAGGUACGAAAGCGUGGGAAGCAAACAGG